AACGAACGCUGGCGGCGUGGCUAAGACAUGCAAGUCGAACGGACUAUACAAUUGAGUAAUCGAGAGUGUAGUUAGUGGCGAAAGGGUUAGUAAUGGAUAGGUAACGUACCCUAUGCUUCGGGAUAGCGUCGAUUGCUUCGGCAAUCUUCCGAAAGGGGCGGUAAUACCGAAUAAUAUCAUGUAUCGAUAGGUACAUGAUCAAAGAUUUAUCGGCAAAGGAGCGGCCUAUCUCCUAUCAGCUUGUUGGUGAGGUAAAAGCUCACCAAGGCUUUGACGGGUAGCGGGACUGAGAGGUUGACCCGCAACAUCGGGACUGAGACACUGCCCGGACCUCCACGGAGGGCUGCAGUAACGAAUCUUGCGCAAUGGGCGAAAGCCUGACGCAGCGACGCCGCGUGUAGGAGGAAGUCCCUCAGGAUGUAAACUACUGUCAGGGAUAUGAAAGUCUGCUUAGGCAGAUUGAUCGUCC
rnacentral:rRNA from 1 species